GCAUUGGUCGAGCUUCCCGGGUUUUCUAGAAGGGCAGGUAUAUGGGCAGCUAUGGGGGUCCUGGUUAGCAUGAGCAGCGGUGCUAGCACUAUUGACGGCGUUCAGCGCGAGGUACAGCAGCAAUCCGGGAGUAGAAGGACUAGACUGGGACUGAGGUGCUGGUUGGAGCGGCUGGGUAUGUGUGCUGGCGUGAGUGUGCCGCGGCACUGAGUAAUAUAGAGAGCUCUGAAGUUAACGACAGCUGAACUGCAGUACGCCGUGCUACUACACUGACUGGGAGAACGAUAAAACGUGCUGUUUGUGUGUGGGAUGCCAGAUUCGUUUAAUAUGGCUAGCUGCUGUUUUCUUUUAGCUGAUGUUUUCUUUUAGACGUUUCUUGUAAAGGUAUUUUUACAGCAAUUGCUGUUUCUUUUUACAAAAUAAGUGUAUGUGCUGCUCAGAACUCUUGGUAGAGCAUUUAUUUAUUUUUUUAUUUUUUUUUUUGUUUAUGUUCUAUUAUUGGUAACAAAGUCUAGAUCUGGCCAACUAAGCUACUUGUGGGCGAUAAGCUUAGGAAAGUGAAUGCUAUUUGUAUAGUACUGGAGUGGUGUGUAGUCACUGAACUUUGGAUUUGUAGUGGAAAGUAUCACUAUCUACCAUUUAUUAUUUUGAUUUCUCUUACUGAUUUGCAGUGUUCCCUUAUUUUGUUUACUUUAUGUAAUAGCAUCCAAACCCUAACUAGAAGCCUGAAGCUUAGUUGUGGUAUAUGUCCUAUUUUGUUACCAAAGGUUUGUUUGUUAUCCUUUUUUUUUUCAUUUUAAUAAAAUCUUUUACCGUGUCAGUUAACCUGUGACCAAAUAAAGAAUAUUUCUAUUUUUCUUAAAAGUGACCUGUGUGCAUUUUUACUUACAGAGCUCCCCUUUGCUCUAGGUAUAAACCAAGGGGUGGCGUAGUUGGUUUAGUUUUAUUUAUUUAUUUAUUUUUUCUUUGUAAAU